rnacentral:rRNA from 1 species
GAUUUCUGGCUUGAAACAUUUUGCCGGCCACGGUUUCGUGUGUUAGUGCUUGAUGUUCUGGCCAUCCUUCCAAUCGCUAUUCAUUCUUCUUCAUUGAGGGGUGAGUGGUAUUGGAUCUUUUACUUUGAAAAAAUUAGAGUGUUUAAAGCAGGCGUUUGCUAUGAAUACAUUAGCAUGGAAUAAUAACUUAGGACUUCGGUUCUAUUUUGUUGGUUUCUAGGACUGAAGUAAUGAUUGAUAGGGAUAGUUGGGGGUGCUAGUAUUCAGUGGCCAGAGGUGAAAUUCUCGGAUUCACUGAAGACUAACUUAUGCGAAAGCAUU